rnacentral:rRNA from 1 species
UACGAAGGGGACUAGCGUUGUUCGGAAUUACUGGGCGUAAAGCGCACGUAGGCGGCUUUGUAAGUCAGAGGUGAAAGCCCGGAGCUCAACUCCAGAACUGCCUUUGAGACUGCAUCGCUUGAAUCCAGGAGAGGUGAGUGGAAUUCCGAGUGUAGAGGUGAAAUUCGUAGAUAUUCGGAAGAACACCAGUGGCGAAGGCGGCGGCCUGGGCCUAAACUGACACUGAGGUGCGAAAGCGUGGGGAGCAAACAGG